rnacentral:misc_RNA from 1 species
AACGCAAAUGGCACUCUAUGGUAUUCCGUAGAGUACGUCUGUUUGAGCGUCGCGAACAUCUCCAUAAUUAGUUUUUUUAAAUUGAUUGUGGGUUUUGAGGUUGUCAUAUAAGCAAUGACUCCCUUUAAAAUAAUUAGUGAUGACCUUAUGAAUGGGUUAAUACUGUGUGUUAUAAUGGAUUACAUCCAUCACCAGUCAGAGAGUAAUCUCGCCUUAGUAAUUUGUAGUGAUUGCUUCUAACUGCCAUUGGCUAACAAACUGAUCAAAUCGACCUCAAAUCAGAUGGGAUUACCCGCUGAACUUAA